CUGGUAGUGUCUUCACAGCAGGUCCUUGUGACGGACCCUGCCUGGUAGUGUCUUCACAGCAGUUCAUGCCUCAACUGUGUAUUUAAGUCCCCAUGGGAAAGGUUUGGAGGAGACCGGCAAAGCUGAGGUCCUGCCUAGCCCACUGCUCUCACAGUGCACACAGCAAACUCCUUUCAAAAGUAGAAAGCAGGGUUCGGAUGAAGAAGGCCCGAGCUUAGACGUGCACUCGAUUUUAAACCUUCUCGAUAACAUCUCUCCCCUUGCUUGCUUGCUUUUUUUUCCCUUUUUUGUUUAAGACUUAAAAAAAUAGGCUUGCCAUUGUCAUUUAGAAUAUAAUUGUUCCAAUCAGAAUAUAAUGAAAAUUACAUUUUCAAAUGCUUAUUUUCAUAGGAGCUUGAAAAGCUAAUGCAGGCAGGUGUGUAAUAAGUUAUUGUCAAACUGCACAUUAGAAUUCUGCUUCAAGUCAGCUUUCUUGACUUGGCUGUGUCGAGAUCAGUCUUUUCUGGUAUUUGAUAGACAAAUAUGUGGGAAAUUAUUUUCCAGCUUUUUCUUCCUUUUUAUUCUUCCUGUCUGUAUUUCUUCUGUGAAACAAUCAACUGGCGCUUCAUCGGCCUUUUUACUGUAUCUGGGGUUGUUAGGAUCUCCUUGGAAUGCCCUCAGAAGGUGGUGUGAGAAGCAGGUCAUCAGCCCAAGGGACCGCCUGGGCCUGCCUUCCUCAUAGCUGUGUCUGCUCAGCUGAAUUGCAUCUGCAGCAGUGAGAAUGCAAUCACCAGCUUCCCUCACAAAAAGGGUCUUAGUCCAAGUGUCGGCUUGACAUGUGCUUUGAAGAUGCAGCAGACAGCAGGGUGUCUUUCCCACUCUCUCAGUAACUGGCUUUUUGGGUCUUUUUCCUUUUACAUCCCUAACAUGAAUUAAUUUCUCUGUUGAGGUAAUCAUGUUCUUUUAUAAACUGAGAACGUCCAGCCUCCUCAGGUGUGACAUCUAAUGAGGUGUGAGCGAGGAAGGUGCUUUUCAGUGGCUAUUUUGUCAGAAGUAGUCAGGUGACAUCCUCCCAGCAGCCACCUGACUGCAGUUCAGAUCUCCCCAGGGGCCCUCUGUGGAAGGGACAGAGUCUUUGAGGUACACAGCCCUCUGGGGACUUGUGUUGCCAAUCUGCAUCUUGCUGAGUUUGGAACCUCACUCAUCAAAGGCCCCAUGGAGUCAGUCAUGGAGUAAAGCACUGUUCUCCCGGACAGGAAGGUCCCUAAAGCAAACUGAACGCAUUGGUUCAGGAUGGUGUAGACAAUGCCCAGACGGACAAAUGAGGCAGUCGUGUCUUGCUUUUCACUUGUGUUGGCUUUACAUUUCUCUUAAAAGCCUGGUGUUGCUGAGGUCCAACCUGAAAACCAUACUCAGUUCUGAGUUUUAGAUAAACCAUUAUAAAACAUUAGUCAAUACAUACUGCUCCUUUGAAAUUUGGGUAAAAAAUUAUACAACCAUAUAUAUAUAUAUAUAUAUAUAUAUAUAUAUAUAGUCAUUUUGUAUUUUUUCUAUGUUGUGAAAACUAAAAUUGUAAUUUUAUAAGUCUUUGAUUCACUAAAAUUAUAUAAUUUAAAUGUAUUUUUUGUAUAUUUAGAAAUAAGGAGCUCAAAAAC
ensembl:lncRNA